GGUGCAUAAGGUGAUGAUCUAUGAGGCAUGGAGUUGUCUGCUGGUGCAGAUGACAAAGCUGCCGCAGAAGGAUGCUGAGGUGCAGGCGGCGCUGGGCUAGGAACAUGAGCGAAAGAAGAUUGGGAUGGAGGUAAUGUAGAGCUAGGAGCAGUGGCAGGAGCCACCGAAGAGGGAGGCUGUUGAGCUACAGAGGGUAUCAUACUUGGAACAGGAACAUUUGGUACCGCUGGAGGUAGCUGUGAAACAGGAGCAGGGGGUGCAGGCGCAGAUGAUGGAGCUGGAGCAUUUGUAACCAUUCCGGGCGCCUUCGGCUGAACCGGAGCUACAGCAUGCAUUGGUGCCGGAGGUACCACUUGUGGAGCAUGGUUUGAAGGUGCACCUGGAUUGGUUGGUUGACUUGCCUUAAGGGGCAUAGUGGAGGUUUCAUCUUCAAUUGAGGAAACAUUGGAUCCUGAAGAAACAGAGCCAAAUGAAUCGCGUCUUUCAGGAGCAGAUGGUCUUGCAUUAACAGCAUUGUGAGAUGGCAUUGCGUUCAUAGGUUGAACGGGAGGUGGUGGAGCAUGCACAUUCGAUGAGUCCGGUAUUUGCGGUUUAGGAGAAGUGGGAACAGCUGGCCUGACAGGUGGUUCAAGUGACAUUUUUGAAAACUGAUUUUCCAGUGGUGCUUGUUGAGGUAUGGGAGCUGUGUUAAAGGACGUAGAAGUAGUAGAUGGGUCUUUAACAGCUGCUGUUGGAAUUUGUUUAGUCGGCUGGGGGUGCUGAACAGUGGGAACCACAGCUGGAGGAGUAGAAAUAGAAGCUGAAACAGCCGGUACAUUAGAAGAAACUGCUGAAGCUUGUUUUCCGGGUUGAAUCUGUUGAGCAGUGGGUGCG